GAGAGAGAGAGAGAGAGAGAGAGAGAGAGAGAGAGAGAGAGAGAGAGCAGAUCUAGCAGAGUAGCAGAGCAAUGGCGUCGUCCGACAUGGACGUGAGCUUGGAUUUCUCUUGGGAGGCCCUGGUGCUCGAGCUCGGCGACGCAGAUAGCAUGCACCUGCCGGCCGAGGACUCUCUGUCCGGCCUGUGCGACGACUUGACGAGCUCGCCGGACGGCGCCACCUCGCGGUCGACGAAGGCAAGCAGCUUGGAGAGGAAGAACAUAAUCAACGAGAGGCACCGGCGAAGGAUGCUCAACGAGAAGCUUUACGCCCUUCGCCGUGUCGUUCCAAACAUCACCAAGAUGGACAAGGCGUCCAUCAUCCAGGACGCUAUCGCCUACAUCGAGGAGCUGCAGGAGCAGGAGCGCCAGAUUCUUGCCGCCCUCCGAACCGACAGCUGCACCGCCGUGGCCAAGGUGGACGAUGCCGCCUCGACCGGCAGCAACGCAGAGGACCAUGGCGUCGGCUCCUCGCCGCGGAAGAAGAUGAGGAGGACCACCUCUGCCUCCUCCAUUAACGGCGCCUUCUGUUCUCCUUCCACGCAUCCGGUUCAAAUCUUUGAGCUGGAGGUGACGCAGGUAGCAGAGGAGUUAACAAUGGUCAGCAUGAGACAUGGCAAUUCCCACAACGCCAUUGCCAAGGUGUGCGAGGCACUCGAGUCGCUCUGUCUCAAGAUCAUCUCGACAAGCAUCACCGCCGUGGCCAGUGGCAUCGUCCACAACAUGUUCGUUGAGGUGUGCAUCCAGCAUGGCCCAUCAAAAUAUUUUAGGUUCUCUCUUCUUGAGGUGUGUGACUUGUAAACGUAUGAGGUUAGUCUAGCGUGUGCUGGCUUGGCAUCUUGCACAUCAUCGGGUACAUGGAGAAACAUCAAGAUGCGAAGAAUGGAACAAAUGUGGACCUAGAACUUUUACAUGGCUUUUGGCAUUAUCAGGGAUCUUUGUUUUUAUGUGUAUUUCAUGCUUUUCAAUCUACCAUACCUUCCUUUAUGAAUUGCUAAAGCCAGAUAAUUGUUUAACAUAUUUGCUAAUUAUGCUUAAUCAUGUAUCGUAGUCGCGUGUCCUUGCUUGAAAACUUGCUAGACAUAUGUGUGGCUUGACUAAUGCUUGUGAACACAUGUGUUUGCCAGUGCUUUCUAGGAACGAUUUGUCUCUCAAAGAAAUUUUCGUGAGGUCUAUCUCAUGAAUUAGGUCGUGGUUCACUAAGGCUAUUUGGGAUGGGAUUUUGUUAAGUUUUUUGGGGUCCAAGCUUCAAUUUGAAAAGGAGUCGGGAUUGGUUCUAAUGUUCGUGCAUAAUAGGAAAAGUAAGGCCAGGCUAGGGCUGCAGCUGCCCAAACUAUAUCCCGAUGUCUCUCUUGUUAUUGGGUUGUUAUGCAAUUCAACCUAUCGAUUUUUUUCAUAGUGUUUGGUUGACUCCAUAUCUCAUGCCCAUUCAUCUCCCAAGAGGCAUCGCUGCCCUGACACUUAUGAUGUGCUGUGUCACACAAGAGCAUGUGUAUCAUCCAUGAUCAGGCAGAAGGAAUGCAUGGUGCUCAAACAAUCAAGGAGAUGAUACAAACUCACUCAGCCAUCUCGAUGUGAGAAGAAGCUCACCGAUGUCUAUGAGUCCAUGUUGAAGAUUAAGUGUUGCAAAUAAUGCACUAAUGGGCAUCCCAUCUAUCUAGGAUUUAAUCGUCUCGAUGUGACUAAUGUGCUUCCCAACUACCUAUGCUCUAGUCAUGUCGAUGUGAAUCUCAACCACCUAUGCCCUAGUAUAAUCAAGGGAUGCACUAAUGGAAAUCCCAACAUUGCUCAAGCAAUCAAGGAGAUCGACUCACUCCGCGACCUCAGUCUGAGAAGAAGCCCACCAAUGCCCAUGAGCCCUGAUGAAUACGAAGUGUUGCGAAUAGACAUCCUUCUGAUUUUUCACUAAUUAAUCAGACAAUUUUCUUCUUCUUAAUAAAUGGAUAGAGGCCUUUUGGCCUCAGUUUCAAGAAAAAAAGAUUAAGUGUUGCAAAGAAUGUACUAUGGCCUCCCAACUACAUAUGUUCUAGUCCACUCUAAUACUAUAGUCAUCUUCUAAUAACUUGAUAGCAAUUGGAGUUAAUUAUAUGGCCCUAGAAAUAAAAUUCAUCUCUGGACUUGGUGGACUCUAGUACUAUGCAGUCAUCUUUGGAAGCUAACAUAUUGCCAAUUGUGUGUGUGAGCAUAAGUUGGACUUUGUUGGGAUAACGAAACCGGGUAAAAAUGAUUAAUCGACGCGUGGCCUCGACCACCUUUUCGA